rnacentral:tRNA from 2 species
GGGCAUGUAGCUCAGCUGGUUAGAGCACUACACUGAUAAUGUAGAGGUCCCUGGUUCGAGUCCAGGCAUGCCCA